rnacentral:misc_RNA from 1 species
GUCGUUAAAGAUUAGGCUUCAUUAAAAUAUUGAUAGUGGUUACCAAUAUCUCCCCCUCCCUGCCCAACCCCCAAACCAAAGCUCAUGAAAUAUGAAUUCAGGACUUAUAAUUUGCAAUUCUUGCAUUGCAAUCAUUUGAAUCAAUUAACUGUGAUUAUCUUGACUGAUAUGAUCAGUUGGUCACAUGCUCAUGACAGUGGGAAAGAGUGAGUGCAAAUGAAGUAAGUUGUAGUGCUUCGAUAAGGGGAAUAAAUUUACUGCUAAAUAGUUUGGAGUUACGCCUGGCCACUGGUCUGAGUCAGUUUCAGGCCCAAACAGGCGGUACAAGGCUUGGCUAGGGGAUGGACUAGAACUGGACUGGUUGACUAUGGUUCUAGCUGGUUUUGGUUUCCAACAGGAGGUGUUCUGAUUCAACUCUUGUUUUGAUUGUGGUUUUCGGCGAUUUCAAUUCCAAUGCAAAACGCUUUUGGUCCAUGUGAUACCUUCUAAAAUUCCACCUAUUAUUACUUUUUUAAAUCUAGUUUAAACUAGGCUGGAACUGCUGGUUUGACUGUCAGUUCCGUUCAGAGCUUGUGGAGUCUGGUUCUAGUUCAGGUCCUGCAACUGUUGACCCAGGCCUAUUUCGGGUUUGACCUAGGCUGGUCCGGUUCAGAACUGGCCCUUGACCAAGUCUAUUUGGAGCUAUAUCCUGUAAUCUCUAUUACAAAUU